GACGAACGCUGGCGGCGUGCUUAACACAUGCAAGUCGAACGGAAAGGCCCUGCUUUUGUGGGGUGCUCGAGUGGCGAACGGGUGAGUAACACGUGAGUAACCUGCCCUUGACUUUGGGAUAACUUCAGGAAACUGGGGCAAAUACCGGAUAGGAGCUCCUGCUGCAUGGUGGGGGUUGGAAAGUGUCGGCGGUUGGGGAUGGACUCGCGGCUUAUCAGCUGGUUGGUGGGGUAGUGGCUUACCAAGGCUUUGACGGGUAGCCGACGUGAUAGGGUGAUCGGCGACACGAGAACGGAGACAGCGUCAAUAGUCCUACGGUACGCAGCAGUAUGGAAUGGGAGGCAGUAGUCGGAAGUAUGACACAGUGAGCCCGAGUCUGAGGUGACGGCGCCGCGUGCGUAAAGAUGGCCUAUGGGUUAAGAACAGAUGUGGCCUUAGACGUAGAGGUAGUGACGGUACUGAAUAAAGAAGCACCGGCUAACUACGUG
rnacentral:rRNA from 1 species